GUGUUCUAUCCUUCAUUCCACCGGAGUCUGUAUCUGUGUUUAAACCAGAUUUCAGUGGUGUGAAGUGUAAGAGACA
rnacentral:pre_miRNA from 1 species